AACGAACGCUGGCGGCAUGCCUAACACAUGCAAGUCGAACGGGAUCCUAGCUUGCUAGGUGAGAGUGGCGGACGGGUGAGUAACACGUGGGAAUCUGCCUUUUGGUUCGGGAUAGCCGCGGGAAACUGCGGCUAAUACCGAAUGCCCUCGAGAGAGGAAAGAUUUAUCGCCAGAAGAGGAGCCCGCGUCCGAUUAGGUAGUUGGUGGGUAAAGGCCUACCAAGCCGACGAUCGGUAGCUGGUCUGAGAGGAUGAUCAGCCACACUGGGACUGAGAUACGGCCCAGACUCCUACGGGAGGCAGCAGUGGGGAAUAUUGGACAAUGGGGGCAACCCUGAUCCAGCAAUGCCGCGUGAGUGAUGAAGGCCUUAGGGUUGUAAAGCUCUUUUGCCAGGGAAGAUGAUGACUGUACCUGGAGAAUAAGCCCCGGCUAACUUCGUGCCAGCAGCCGCGGUAAU
rnacentral:rRNA from 1 species